rnacentral:lncRNA from 1 species
UCGAAUAUUUGAGUGUUACAAUCUUUAUGAAUUCUCUGAUUCUUCUUUUCGAUAGUAAAUAAAUUCAAGAGCCUUUGAGCUUGAUCUUGAAUACGUAGUUGUCGCCACGAACCAUGAUCUUGUUCUUGAGCUUUAGCUUGAUUGCUUGAACUUGAUAUUGAUUCGUUCUUCGUUCUUGAGCUUGAACUUGAUUGUUCUUCGUUCUUGAGCUUGAACUUGAUUGCUUGAAGCUUGAAACUUGCGGAGGAAUUUGCAGUGUUUGAUCCAUGAGUUCUUUCCUGCUUCUUG